GUGAGUUAGUUCUCGUUGGUGACCAGCGGAGGGAUCAUUACCGAGUUUACAACUCCCAAACCCCUGUGAACAUACCUUAAUGUUGCCUCGGCGGAUCAGCCCGCGCCCCGUAAAACGGGACGGCCCGCCAGAGGACCCAAACUCUAAUGUUUCUUAUUGUAACUUCUGAGUAAAACAAACAAAUAAAUCAAAACUUUCAACAACGGAUCUCUUGGUUCUGGCAUCGAUGAAGAACGCAGCAAAAUGCGAUAAGUAAUGUGAAUUGCAGAAUUCAGUGAAUCAUCGAAUCUUUGAACGCACAUUGCGCCCGCUGGUAUUCCGGCGGGCAUGCCUGUUCGAGCGUCAUUUCAACCCUCAAGCCCCCGGGUUUGGUGUUGGGGAUCGGCUCUGCCUUCUGGCGGUGCCGCCCCCGAAAUACAUUGGCGGUCUCGCUGCAGCCUCCAUUGCGUAGUAGCUAACACCUCGCAACUGGAACGCGGCGCGGCCAUGCCGUAAAACCCCAACUUCUGAAUGUUGACCUCGGAUCAGGUAGGAAUACCCGCUGAACUUAAGCAUAUCAAAAGCCGGGAGGAAACUAUAG
rnacentral:rRNA from 1 species